CGUCAUUCCACGCGGCGCGAAAUUUUCUCUGCUGCUUAAGAUACGUGACUGCGAAAAACAUUGGGUUGUAAAACGCUUAUAUACAGUGUUCUAGUACAACACAGAUUUAAUGUAUGCUUAUUAGCACACAAAGAUGGCAGAAGACUGGCCACAAAGUAAGGUGACAAAACAUGUGAAGGAGGGAACUCUGCCGGAUAGGUGAAUGCACUAACCACCAGAAUAUUGGCAUCAUCACGUGAGUACCCCAUUGAUGCUCUGCAAGGAGUACAAGAGGAGACAAACCUCAAACUGCAGCAUUAGAAGGCAGUAUCCAGGGAGUGUCUAACGAAGCAUUAGUCCAGCCACAUUCUCAAACAAGGGAAGACUUAAAAUUGAUUCUGCAGGAAGCAAAAGAUAUGCUGAAUCAUUUGACUGCUCUGAUAAGCAAAGACAAACCUGCUCCAGCACACUGGCAGGAGCUGUUCGAGCUGCAAGGAUGCCUUGAUGAUGACUCAUAAAUUACUUAUCAAAAGCCUCUCUUGUGUGGGUGGUACGGAUGCAAAGGAUUGCCUGAAAAGAAUCAUGCGGCAAAUCUUGACUGACAAGGUUUUAUAACUGUAAAGACCAAAGAGGAGAAAACUGUGCAUUCAAGGGGCUUUCAAAGAUGCAGACCAUGAUAUGCAAAGCUGUACAGAAGAACAAUGGGUGCAUGGAGGCUUCAGAUAACAUCAUCGAAGAAAGCAGCAGCAGAAAGAGAUGGGGUAGAAAGCAGAGGAGAGAACGAAACUAAUACUAGCAUAUUUCAAGGAGGUGACAACUGUG
rnacentral:lncRNA from 1 species